GGAAGUUCUGUUGCCGUUGCCGGCUAGCCCGCUGCCGCCGCUCGAGCCGCAACUACCAACACGAACACCUUGAAGGCAACGCCCUCGGCAAUGGAACGGCAGUUCGGCGGCGCGAGUUGCGGAGGCCGCCCGCUCCGGUCAGUAACCAUCACACAUCACUACCUCCUCGCGGUUCGUCCGCUGAACCGAGUGACUAUUAUUCCCGUCCCCUCAUCAUUCCAUCUGCACACCGAGCGCUCGGAAGGGCUCGCGUGGACGCGCUCGGGGGUCGUUGCGGCGGCGGCGGUCCUGGUCAAGCUCGAUGGUCUUGUUCCUCGCGGUACCUUCAAUUUUCUCAUCCCCGCGCUCCGGUCCUGAUCUCCUGCCCCUCGAUGGUUACAGGCACGUUUGGUAGCUAGCUCCUGCUCGUCGACUCAAGUAGUCAAGUUGCUUGAAUCCCUUUCUGUUAGUCGUGUCGUGUUGUCCCCAUAGAAAAGUGGCAAGGCCGUGCGCUUUAUUCCCGCAAUGGUCAGUAUUUGAGGCUUCGGUGGUCGAUGCGAUCAUGACUGGUUGAGUUUGUUGCCUGCUGCAUUAAUUCAAUCCAGCCGAUUUGUCCCAGUCAUUUUUUUUCUUUCUGAAUCCCAGCAGAAUAUUGUGUCACAGUCUUAUCCUCUGAUGAUUAUCAGCUCCCUGCUGCUUGGUUAUAGUUUCAUCAGUCAUCGAUUUCAUUCCAAGCAUGACCUUCCGAUAAGGUGCUUUGCUGGUACCACUCCAUUCCCCUGGAAUCUGCUAAGUCAAAAGUCUCCAUAUGAGGAAGCGUGUUUAAGUUGUUGACCCAAUAUUUGUUAUAUGUUCUUUGAGUCAAUCGUGUUGCUCUCGUGACUCAUGGUGAAGACCUUAGUUGAAUAGGUGUGUAGCGACCAAUAUGAGUUGAUAAGAUGUCAAUUAAAUUGGCUGUUUCUUGGCAAUUUUCCGUUAGGACUGAACUUUAUCCUGUAAUUUUUUAAAUAUGCAAAAUUGAAAUUUGAUGCUAAUGUUCGAUCACCGAGAGAAUCUUGUAAAAUCAGUUCCACUACUCAUUAUGCUUCAUUGACUGGAUGGUGCCUUAUAACUUGGAUUCAACUUUUAAUUUACUUCUGUGAUUCUUUGUACCAUAUUCAUUCUUGACUUUUAAGUGGUUCCUGUUGGGAACUCUAGCCUAACCCAAACUGCUCGGGACUGAAAGACUUUGAUGUUGAUGUUGAUUCAUUCUUGACUUUUGUCCUUGCAUUCUUUAUGUUUGGCGCACACGGUAUGCAUGCCUAAGUUGGUAAUAGUAAGUUAAUAGCUUUUUACUCCUGUCCUUUUUUUCCUUUUGGCAUUGAGGCAACUGCGUUGUUUGACUUUGUGUCGCAUGUCUUGUUUAUUAGCUGUAGUAGAAUUCUAGGUUCUUUAAUUUAGAUGUGAACAGUUUCUGAAUAUAGGCUUAUUGUUAGUGAGUAAUGUGACCAUCUUCUUUUCUUUCUGCACCUGCCAUCUUGUCAACAGAUUUCAGCAAAUUCCUUGUCUAUGGAUUCAACAUAUAAGAAUGGCCAGUAUAGCCUUUUAGAGCACAUGAAUCUUGUUGUAUCUAAAUUUAUAAUUGGUUCUAUAGGCAUACAUGUUCGCCUACCGCAUCAUAUAUCAUGCACUAAUCUGCACACCUGAUGCCAAAUAUCUUUAUAAUAAUUAUCUCCCUUAUUUCUGUACAUCUUCUUUAUGACCUUACUUAUUUCUAUACAGUCCAACCCAAUGGAAGGCACUGUAUCUCCAGUUGGUGCAUUUUGUAUCGAUUGUGUUUGUCCAUGGUGUAUGUGCACUCUUGUGUUGUAUAUAUGUACAGUGCUGAAGUGCUAAUAAUGAUUACUUGAGUAGAGGACUGUGAUUCCAUUUCUUAUUUUAUUUUUAAUCUAAUUGUCAUGCUGGUCAGUUCAGUGUAGUACUUGGUGGACCCGUCCAGUAAUUUUUUUCCAUCAAAUAUGAUUAGAGAGCUCUUGAUCUCUAUCCGAUAAGUGUGAGAAAAUUGUGUCCGCUGUCAUAAUCAUCGUUCCUUCCUGGAUGAUAGAGCUCGUCCGCUGAAAGCUACUACUACUUACUGAUGUAAUGUAGGAUGCAUUCUCAAUUUUCAUGCGAACCAUUUUGAAUAGAACGGUUGUAGAUAAACAGUUAUCCUGUAGGUUAUGCCUUCUUUUGUCAGUUCGUUUUCAGAUUUGCUCUUUAUGGUUAUUGCUUAUUGCCACACAACUUGCUGGAGUAUAGUUGGUGCAAUAUUUCCCAUUUUAACUAUGUAAAGUGUGGAAGCUACCUUAUAUAUUGAGGGUAUCAAUGGCAUCUAUUUUACGUAUUACUCUCGAUAGAAUAACAUUAACAUGUUUGUAAAUUUGGCAGAAAAGAAGAGGGAAAUAUUGGCAUCUUUUUUCGUCAGAACCUUCAAAAGAUUUGCUAGAACAGGAAUCUGGAAUUGUGGAGUGAACAGGGAUCCUUGUUUACUGGGGUAUGUACAGUUAUCUACAUGUUGCAUAAUAUGAAAAUGUACCCGAACAAAGUGCAAAUCAUGCAUACAACGCUUCUCAUCAACUAAAAUAUAGAUAGUGACUGGCUAAGACCCUUGGACACCAUGGUCAUGCUACUCAUGUAGUUGUGCUUUACGACAGAGCUAAGUACCGCACUCUCCACCUCUUCUGAGGGCUUUCUCCUAAGCAAGCGCAUCACAUACUCCAUCACUGCUGCCUCACAAGGCACUGUGAUCCUGUCUUCACUUGUGAACCCAAACUCAUCCUCAGACAUCCGCAGGAGCUCCCCAAAAACGUUUGUAUUAAGAUACACCAAAGGGACCUCAAAUCGCUUACCAUCAGCUGUGUAGACAAUACAGUGGCCUUUGUUUGCUAUGGUUGAUGCACAGUAUAGCUUGCCAUCUUUGGUUGCACCGAUCGUCAUCAGCCUCCUCCUCCCAAGUGCUGCCAUAUGUUGCCACCUCUUUGCCAGUUGAACUAGCCUCUUCGGAUGUAUCAUGUCGUAAUUCUACGAGAUAAGCUUUUGGUCCACUGUGCUGUUGCUUCAGUUUUUUAUGGGUUGUGAGGAUGAUAUGCGCUAGUUUUAUGUACUUAUAGGAUAGCGAGGGAGCACUAGAGCCAUAAGGUAUGUCCAAUGGGUGUAGGCAUCAGUCUGACUAGUUGGCAAGAGACAAAGCCAUGAACUUUAUCUUCCUAGAUGUUGCUAUCUUGCUCUGUAUGAUUGAGUUUGAUGCUUAUUUUUCUUCUUAGCCUAUUGGUAUACUUUGGGUCCACUCUAUCAAUCUUUUCCUCAGUCCAGUCUAUUUAUCAUUUAUGUCAGCCUCAUCCUUCCAUUAUUGUACACAGUUUUGUGCUGCUUGGUUCUACACUUGUAUCUGGUUUGAUUGGCACUAAUAUUGCAGAUGGACAAUAAAUUUUUUUUAUCAAGAACUAUUUGAGAUUUACGAUAUGGAUAAGUGAAUUCGUGAAUAGUUCUUUUCUUAAGGUUUGGUAAAAAAGGUAUAAUGAUUAAUAUCCAAGCUAAAAGGUCCAAAAUUUACACUUCAUUUCCCAUGCUAUUUCUACUGCUUCAACUGAUGUAAGAACAUUCUUCAUUAUUUUCUUUGGGUAAAUAUUGAUGUACAGAUUUAGGAACACAACUUUUCUGUUUGUUUGGCCUACUUUCAUUUGCCUAACAGCUUCAGAGUCUUACAUUAAUCUGAUGUCCUUUUCAAGACACUCAUUUGAUGCUGGUGGGUUAACAUCUUUCUUAUUUACUUCUUAUCUUUUGUUGGUGUUCAUAUUUCAAUAUUUCUGUGGUCUACAGUCCAUAGAGUUGUCCUACCUUUUUCCUUGCUGGACCAGCAGCUAUGCAAGUAUGAGCAUGUGGCCAAAUUUAUGUUCAGUCGUAGGUUUCUUCUGCAAACCACUGUUUUAUGGAUUCAGUCAAACUCUAGUGGCAAUCGAACUUUCUUGCUGUUCUGGGGAUCAUGUACUAUGAUUUAUCUGUUGUGGCUGUUUCUGGCAGCAUCUUGAUUAUAUUCUUCAUAAAUAUUCAUCCAGAAGAGACAAAUAAGUUCUUCUGUUCUCAAAGAUAUAGAGUGGCUAAUUUGUGAAACGAUCUAUUCAUUAAUAAAUAGUAAAGAUUACCAAGGAUUUUAUGUUAGGUCCUUUAUUGGUAUACAAACACACCUUUAAGUUCUACCUCUAAUCUUGUAGGGUGUAAACUUUUGUUGUCUGACGUCUGAUUUUUUUUUUCUUUCCAAUGCUCAUGGCGUAGUGAUAUUUCAUGGUAAUGGCACUUCAAUCAGAUAUUAAGAUGAGAUAAUGAUAUGCUAAGUUUUGCUAAUCUUUCAUUUCAGGUAACCUAUACAGAACUAUUUUACAUCAUGUUGGAUAUUUUACAAGCAAACAGUGCAAAACCAUGUAUAUCUUCAGAAAGUACAGACUGAAUUGUUGAUGCAGUGCCACCCAUUGCUGGCAACGCAUCACCAUAGAGCUCAGGAACACCCUCUCAACUUCCUCAGAUGCAUUUCUUCUGAGCAAGCAAAAUCAGUGUUAUCCUGCCAUCACCUGCGAAUCUAGAACUCCUCCUGGGACCUCCUAAGCAACUCACUGAAUACUGUUUGUGCGGAACUACACCAAUGGGACCUCGAAUCGCCUCCUUUCCGCUGUGGACAUGGCACAGUGCCCUUGUCUGCGUAUGCGUAGGUGAAGUCAUGCAGCAUGUAUCUCUGUCUCUGGUGGUUGCUUUGACCCUUUGCCACUUCCUCACCAAUUGAGCAAGCAUCUUGGGAUGGAUCACGGUGUUUCUUCUUGGUUUUUAGGUACAAUGCUUGGACAUGCUUAGUUUAUGACUUUGUGGUUGAAGUGAUGGUGUCUUGCUAGCUGAUUAUUCAUAUAGGUGAAGAAAUGGUCCGUGGCUUUGGUGAAGUUUCUAUGGUUCGCAGGGGACAAGGCUACGAGCUUAGUGCAAGAUUGUGUAUAAUGCGUGGGUUGUAUUGCUUGAGCCCGCUGAUUAUAUAGGAGUACAUGGCUUGGAGGGCAAGUAGCCUCUCCUAGAGAUAAGGAAGGUUAUCCCGGGAUACAAUCAAUCCUAAACUAAUCAUAUCCGGAGUUGCCUAAUAUACUCUAACAUCCCCCGUAGUCACAACGGGAGCGCGCAUACGAUGAGACUGGAGAAUAAGCCGAAGAGAUGACAUCCCCCGCAGUCGCAACCAUCGAUGUGUCGCAGAUGUUGUGGCUGGAAUGGGAGCCGAAGAGGCUUGUCAAGCAGAUGGUAGUCCCUUAGUGCCGAAGUAGCUGAGGUUGAGGUGUUCAUGGUCGAAGUCGUGGAGGAGGGCGCGGGUUCGAAGCGUCAGUGAAGGCGCUAGAAUACACAAAAUCAGCAGUUUCUUGCCGACAGGUUCAGCAGGACGAUGAGCCGACUGCGAUGGUAGAUGGUGUAGCUAAAGAGCGCAAGUGCAUCUUCCUUUAGCAACAUCGACAGCGGUGUCCGCGAGCGUGCGGCAAUAGGUGCGGACUCGAACCGUGAGCCAGCGUGACGAGGACCAGCAGCAUGGGUGGCACCACCGCCUGAAAAGGCGACGACACCGGCGGUGAUGGUUUGAUCACGAGCAUCGCCGUUGCAUCCUGGAGGGUGCAACGACAACCUCGUCCUUCGGGAGUGUUAACGACGGAGCGGCGAUGAACGGCAGGGCGCUGCAAACCCGAUCUCUGACUGGAAAAAAAGAAAAAAUAGCAGCAGUAGGAAUCGCGGGUACAAUCUCAGGUGCACCUAGCUUUGCCCCCACUCAUAUCCUUAUCUCUUCCCGUCGACCAAGGAUGGAGAGAAAUAGAGAUGCAGAGAGGAGGGGCGAGGCCCGCCCGCGAGUGAAAUCGACCGGGGCAGGGUGCAGCCGGAGCGGCGCCUCCGCUCCUUCUACGCGGCGGGUCAGCAGCCCCGUGAGCGGAGCCCCUGCAACUGCGUCCUCGCGCUCGACGGUAGUAGCAGAGGCGGCGCCGAGGGAUGGAGAGGGGAGCAGGCCCGAUGAGGGUGGAGUAGAGGGCCGGCGGUGAGGGGUGGAGCCCCCACGGCGCUGCAGCCCACCGGCUACGGCAGUGGAGUGGUGCGGUGGAGGGCGUGGUGGAUGGGCGUGGUGAGGAGGCCCCGAUAAGACCCAUCCGGCGAUGGAUCUUGACGAUGGCGUCGGCGACGACGAUGUCAGCAGGCGGCGCGAUGACCCGGCCUAACCCCGACGUCUGCAGUGGCGCGGCAGCCCUGCGCCCCCGCACGCUCGCACCCAAGGCAGCGGUGGCGGCGGCACAAAAGGAGAGGGGCGGCGCUGGGUCAGAUGCGCCGGAGGAGGCGACGAGGAUGCGGCGAAGGCAGCCCGACGAGAUCGAAUCGACCAUGGGGAGAGGUAGGCCCCUCUGCUGCUUCUUGACAAUGAUGGCACAACAGAUCAGAUGGAUCGGCCGCGCAUCCUAUGAGGGCGCUGCCCCCGGUGGGGAUUGCUCUCCCCGGGGGCGGCGUGAGGGCAGUGGAAGCCGGAGACCUAGGGUUAGAACCUAGACUUGUGAUACCAUGCAAGAUUGUGUAUAAUGCCUGGGUUGUACUGCUUGAGCUCCAUGGGCUUAUUAUAUAGGAGUACAUGGCUUGGAGGGCAAGUAGCCUCUCCUAGAGAUAAGAAAGGUUAUCCCGGGAUUACAAUCAAUCCUAAACUAAGCAUAUCCGGAGUUGCCUAAUAUACUCUAACGCUUAGUAUGCCACUGGUGACUGCCAAUGCUAAAUAGAGGUUCGGCCUUCAUGUUAGAUUUUGCUGGGCCAUCAAUUGUUGCACCAUGGAGGUAAAGAUAGGUGGAUAGUGGUUGGGCAAUCAAAUAUGCACUUUAGUAUGAGCUGCUGAAUUGGGCCGAGAACUACAAGCAUCAUGGGUCCAGAUUUUAUGGAGUAUCUGCUUCACUUUCCUGCCUCAAGUUGGUUCAGAGACAAGCUCUGAAUGAUUCCAUGACCCAUUUUGGUCUGCAGCACCACUUUGAUUGCGGUUAGCUGAAGAGGCAGCAUCAAUGCCUCAGUGGGUACAUGGAAGUAUGGUUCAAGAGUCAGAAGACAUAUAUGAUUAUCUCCUGAGCUGGUGGCAUGGCAGGGUUCACUUCACUGCUUUUGGGUAUGUAAUCUGCACUUACAACUGCAGUUUCAUGCCAGGUUUUGGUUAGCAGGGUUUUGGUUGCUGCAAACCAUAUGCAACUUGUUCGAGAGGCAACAGUUUCAUAUUUCUGUUUCCCACCGACGGUCUACAAGAUUCCUAACAUGGCUGGCGACUGUGUCAUGAUAUCUGUGAACAUUUUACAGUGGGCCUACAGUCAAUUGGUUGCUAUCAUCCUGUGGGCAGUUUUUUCUGGAAAGUUGGGACCACUGCUGUUGUUUGGACUUACCUUAGCAAUGUAGACAUGCAGUGAUGUAUUUUUAACUGGUAGUUUACUUGGAUACCACUAUCUUGCAAGGCAGUAGGUCUUGGGCUUAGGCUGUCCAACUUUAUUUCCUGAACAUUUGCAAACUUGCAGGCAUGAGUUGUACAGUCUUAUGGUUUCAUCUUUGGGUUGAACACCGUGCACUGUUGUUGCUCCAGAUCUCAAUUACACUGUCCAUUUGUUAUUUCACCAGGGAUUAUGUAUCAAGGGCCAGAGACACGAUGGGGCAUGAUUUGGUUCGAUCAGAGUGGGGAAUGGAAAUUUAUUAUGUUUUUUUUUGUGUUGUGACACAGGCGGUAACACUUUGGAUCUGAAAUCACAAGACUUAGAAGAAACUUGUUUGCGUCAUAAUGUAAGUUAUUAAGAAUGUGAUCAAUCAUUAUCUAAUCUACUUUGCUAUAUAUUCCUUGCUUGCUUGCAGGGUCAAGGGUUCUACAUAACAUCCUUUUCUGUUUCCUACUACAUACAUUUAGGAGGUGCAAACAGAAACUUGCUGGCUAAUUCCAAGAGAUGAUGCUGCAAAGCUUGCAUAGUGGCAUGAAACUGCCAUGGUGCUCAGAAAUGCCUUCUCUACUUCUGCUGAGGUGCCUCUUCUGAGCAGGCACAUGGCAUACUCCAUGACUGCAGCAUCACAAGGAAGGGUGAUCCGCCCAUCGCUCACGAAGCCAAACUCCUCCUGGGACAUUUGCAGGAGCUCCGCGAAGACUGUCGUGCCAAGGUACACCAGUGGCACCUCGAACCGCCUCCCAUCGGCUGAGUACACCACGCAGUGACCCUUGCCUGCCACAGAGGUGCAGCACUCAUUGGCUUCCUUUGCCGUCCGCCAAGCGAGCUGCUUCCUACCCAGUGCAGCCAUCCUCUGCCAUUGCUUGGACAGCAGAGCAAUCCUUUUGGUGCUGAUCAUGGUCAGUUCCUUUUUCUCUCUCCUUCCUUUUCAGCUGGAAACUGGAGAGUUGAUUUGAGUUUGCAGUGCUUUGUUUGUGGAGCUGUGGGUGAUGGCUUUUGGAGGUCACUCGACUCUGAUAUAUAGCUGAAGCCUGAAGGGAACGAGGGGCAUCCGAUCAAAUGUGAUGAUUGAUCAAGCAUUCAAGGGACAAGGCCAUGUGCAUGGUAUUUGCAAUGCUGCAAGCUGAGUCAGUGAGUGCGUCUCGGAUCAGGUUUGGUUGGGGCCCAAUGUUUUGCAUUUGCCAGAGCCAAUUGUCGUGCACUUUCCGUGCUUGGGUUGGAUGCUACCAGUGCAGCCAUGCUGAGUGGUUUUGAUGAGAAGAGGCAUGGGGACCCCAUGUUAAAUGGGACUAACGUGUGAUGCAGGGGCCAAAUCAGCUAGCUGUCAUGCAAUAUGCUAUUUAGCAGAGGCAUUGUGCACAGCAACCACUUUUCAUGGAGGGGGAUUCCGUUUGGUUCUGCGUUCACUGAUAAUGAUUUGAGUUGAGGACCGUAUUUCUGUACUGCUUUGCUCCAUGACACCAUUGCAAGUGAAUGACAUUGCAACUAUCGCUGGACCAGUAUCAAGUGGAUGGCACCGUGGUCGAGUUUCUUUUUAGAUGAUUGGGAUUUACCUGUUUUUGUCUCAGAGUUGAAACCAGGCAGGAAAAUGCAGUGACAUGGUAUGCUGCAAAAUGCUAGCAUAAUUGAAAUGAGAAAUAGUAUGAAUAAAUGAUCGGGAUCUCAAUGGUAUGGGCAUGCACCAAAACCAUAGGCUUACCACAUCUGGACACAGCCAUAUGGAGGGCUGGGAGAUGGAUGAUGAGGCUUAAUACCUCAAUCAUCAGUUCAUCACAUGAAUGACUAGCGCAGUAUGUCUCUAUGCAAGGCUGUAUUUAUUAUCAGGUAGUUUACAUGGAUAUGCAGAACAUCAUUUGCUUACAGCAUAAUAAAUUUGUAAAUCAGGAAGUCUUGGGCUUAAUUGUCACACCUAUUUUCCUGAACAAUUUCAACUUUGCAAGCCUGAUAGUCCUACAGCUUUACAUUUUCAUAUUGGUCAAAUACCACACACUAAUCUUCCUCUAGAACCCCGCUUCCUUGCUCAUUUGUGAUUUCACCAGGGAUUGUGUGUCAAGGGCUUGAGGCAAACUGGCAUGGUUUGACUCAGUAGAAUUGAGCCACAUCCAGUAACCUUUUUGAUGUGAAGUUCUGAGAUUGCUCGGAAGAAACAUGUUGCCUCAAUGUAAGUCUCAAACUGUGAUUAGUAAUUUAUCCCAUUAUCAUAACAUGCAUACAAUCAACAUGAAUUAUGGCACUAACUUGCUACAUUGCCAUCUUCCAUGAUUGCUUGCAGGAUCAAUGGUCUAUGCAUAAGAGUUUUCCCCCUAAUUCCCACUGCCUAUACCGAACUACUUUACACCCAUCUAGGAGCUGCAAAUAGCGACCUGAUGGCUAACUUCUACAGAUGGUGCCACACAGCUAGCAUAGUGGUAUGAUGCUGCCAUGGUGCUCAGGAAUGCUUUCUCUAACUCUACAGAGGAACCUCUCCUGAGCAGGCACAUGGUGUACUCCAUUACUGCAGCAUCACAAGGAAGUGUGAUCCGCCCAUUGCUCACGAAGCCAAACUCCUCCUGGGAUAUCCGCAGGAGCUCUGCGAAUACCGGUGUGCCGAGGUAUGCCAGUGGAACUUCGAACCUCCUCUUGUCGGCAGUGUACACCACGCAGUGGCCCUUGCUGGCCACGGAGGUGCAGCACUCAUCAGCUUCCUUUGCCACCCCCCAGGAGAGCCGCUUUCUCCCCAAUGUUGCCAUCCUCUGCCACUUCUUGGCCAGCUGAGCAAUCCUCUUGGCGUUGAUCAUGGUUGGUUCUUUCUUUCUUGGCUGGAAACUGGAGAGCUCCGAAUUGAGUUUGCAAUGCUUUGUUUGUGAAGCUACAAGUGAUGGUGUUAGGAGGUCACUUGACCAUGAAUAUAUAGAUGAAGGAAAAGAAGAAGUCGUGCAGUCAAGUGGGAUGAUUGGCAAGAAAAGGGACAAGGCCAUGUGUGAGGUACGUGCCUAUGUUUUGGAUCAGUUCUGAAGGGGCCAAGUGUUUGGUGCAUGCCGGAGCCAGCUGUGGUGCUCUUUCGGUGCUUGGAUCGGACACUACAUGUUGCAGCCAUGCUAAGUGGUGUAUAGCAGGGAAGAGGAACGAGGACCCCAUGUUAAUUGGGGCCAACGUGAAGUUUGAGUGCCAGGCUAGUUCAGGUAGCUGUAGUGCAAUCAGAUAUUGGCAGAGCAGAUGCUUUUCGUGGUGGGACUCCUUUUUGGUUUGGUGUCCAUGGUUGAGACUUCAAAAGUUUGGAAAUUCAGGUUCAUUAGGUAGCUAUCAUCUAAUGAUGAUUUGGCUUUGGGGAUCCUAUUUUUGGUAAAAUGCUUGCCUUGCAGUGGAACUCCACUGACCGAGAUUGGAAAAAGUUGGAGCACCACAUGUUUUGUUGUCUCUCCUAUGCUUGUGCGCUCCAUUUCAACAUGUGUUUUUUGUAUAGAAGGAUCAUACCUGCAAAUUCACGAAGAAUGGUGAUAUCCACACAUGUGUUUCAAAUGGGUUCUGUUUGUUGAUACGUCAGAAGGUCUAGUCCGUAUCACUGAACUAAAUGACUGGUGCAUCACAUAUGGCCUAAUUUUCAGUAUCAUAAUCAAAGCACCGGUUCAAUGCCAGUGGUAUAUUGCUCAGGGAUGCAGUAGCCAAUAUGUUUGGGGUCUACUUCAAAGCUGGAUGAUGAGGUUUCAACUGUUUCGUUCAGAUUUAAUACCAGGCACUACCCACAGCAAAAUGCAGACAAAAAACAUGGAUUGGAAGCCCUAAUCGUCUAAUCAGAUGGCUUGCUGCAAGAGUUCAAACAUAACUGAAAAAUCUGUGCUCCUGAUGCAGAAACAAGUUGGUUGGAUUUGAAACCAGUGUGUUAUGAUCAGGUCUGAAAGGAUAUGAGCACAGGGCAUGCACACAGACCAUGGUUUAACAGUUUGUGUCAGUCAGCAACUGCCCCAAAAGAAGAAAGUGUGUCCUGAAGGCCUGUACGGCUGUACUAAAAUUUGCCUGAUGAUUGUCAAUCGUCUGUCUAUUUGCCAACUUGCAGUCUUACAGAUGGAAAAUUUUAAGAGAAAAAAGCAAGGAAAUGGAGUUCACAUAAGAUGCUUGUAAUCCAACAGUCUGCCAACUGAAGUGACAUGAACGACCAAGUUGUUUGGACAUGUUGAACACAUUUAAUCUGGUCGUUCAAGUACAUUGUGUCAUGGGCAUGAACAACUGUCAGGCUAUAUAUCUCAAUCUGAAGAACCAAAAUCAGAAAUCCAGAUCUUAAAAAGGGACAAACUAAUCACCAAAAAAAUGAUUGAUAUGUAGUUGCAGACUCACUGGCAGAACCGGUCCAGAGUCCAGACAGGUUGGACCCAAUGUUCAUGUGGUCCUCAUGAUGCAUGCUUGACUGCAGGCAGGUCAGUAUGGCAGCACAUUGUGAUACCCUAGAGGGACUAAACACUGAAACUAUUGGUUUCAGCAAGUGCCGAACUGAUGGCCCCAGAGAAAUCUAAUCAAGACCACUCUGCUUUUUGCUGCAACAUUGCAUGUUCUGAACUCAUGGCCUUGUCUCCUGCCAGCUUGUUCUGAUAGCUUCUCUUGAACCACAUCCUUCUGUUUUCCCUCGCCUAUAAAUCCAUCAUCUUAGCACCAAUUCAUCAGCCCAUCAGAAAGCUAAGCACCACACCCCUAGUAGCUGAACAUCACUAGAGACAAGCUGAGCUUCUUUGAACUUUUCAGACAAAAAGGAGGAUAUCGAAGCAGCCAUGAUCAGUGCCAAGAGACUCGCUCAGAUGGCAAGAAAGUGGCAAAGAAUGGCCGCUCUCGCGAGGAAGAGGCUCAUGCCCACCCCGGCGAAAGAGACCGAGGGAUCGUCCUGCAGCAGCAGCACGUCGUCGGUGGCCGGCAAGGGCCACUGCAUGGUGUACUCAGCUGACGGCAGGCGGUUUGAGGUCCCGCUGGCGUACCUCGCCACGGCGAUCUUCAGCGAGCUCCUGAGCCUGUCGCAAGAGGAGUUCGGGUUCGCCGGUGAUGACGGCAGGAUCACACUGCCAUGUGAAGCUGCGGUGGUGGAGUACGUCAUGUGCUUGCUUAGGAGAAACGCCUCAGAAGAGGUCGAGGCGGCUUUCCUGAGCUCCAUAGCGAGGCCCUGCCACUAUGGAAGUGGCUUGGCGCAAUCCAUGGGAGUUAGUCAGCAGCUUUGCUGUUUCUAGCUUCGGAAGAUUAGCAUUUAGCUUGCCUUCUCCUCCUAGCUCUAGUAUGAUGUAUGUAAAUAGUUACAUGUGGAGAUUGGAAAUAGAAUUGAGAUGAUUGUUCCAAAAGAAAUGGUGCCAAUUAUCUGAUUUAGCAAACUGAAACUGGGCUGUUCUACUUCUACUGCGUCCUGAUCACUUGAGACAAUCUGAUUUAGCUCUGCCGCAGUGCCGCUCGACAAGUGAAGCCAAUGCACCUUAAAACUGAAGUCGUUUCAAAUUUAUCGUACUCGCAAGCUUGCGUUUCAUCAAUUUAAGACACCCUUUUUUAUUUUCUAUGCUAGUCUUCUGAUUUGUUCAACAGACCUGAAUAAUUCAGAUAAAUAAACUGUAUUUCAUUUUCAUCACUGGAUUAACAGACGGGUGCAAAUUUGCAGCAUGAAUGGAAUUGAAGCCAUAGCGUAGGAAACAGCUCACUGAACUGUGCCAGCAAUCCUCAAGAGCAUUGAGCUACAACUACAAGUCGGGCGCGGUGGCGAGGAACUGAGGAUGCUAUUGACGGCAUGGAUGACCC
rnacentral:lncRNA from 1 species